rnacentral:rRNA from 1 species
UGCACAAUGGGCGAAAGCCUGAUGCAGCGACGCCGCGUGAGGGAUGACGGCCUUCGGGUUGUAAACCUCUUUCAGCAGGGACGAAGCGCAAGUGACGGUACCUGCAGAAGAAGCACCGGCUAACUACGUGCCAGCAGCCGCGGUAAUACGUAGGGUGCAAGCGUUGUCCGGAAUUACUGGGCGUAAAGAGUUCGUAGGCGGUUUGUCGCGUCGUUUGUGAAAACCAGCAGCUCAACUGCUGGCUUGCAGGCGAUACGGGCAGACUUGAGUACUGCAGGGGA